rnacentral:lncRNA from 1 species
GAAAUAAGAAAGGAAAAAAUAUUAUUGUCUUUGUAACAAACAAAAAAAUAAAUUGUUGUCUCUCUUUUUCGUCCCCGUUGAAACCCAACAUACACAAAAAUGGCGAUCGAGGUAAGAAUAUGGGAGGAAGUUGGAAGAUGAUUUGAUUAAAUAAAUCUUUGAAAAUAUAUGGUCUGAGUUUAUUAAAAAAUAUAUAUAAAUAGAAGAAAAAAAUUAAUUCACAAAAACAAAAGUAUAUAAAUAGAAAAAAAAAAAACUAAUAUAAAGAAAGAGAGAAUAUUGGAGAAAACCCGAAACCACCAUUUGAAAAAUGAAAUUACAUAAAUUAAGUUAACAGGGUUAUUAACGACAAGUGCUAAAGAUGUGCCGACUUUUAAACGUCAUGUACUAUUUUGAUUGUUUUAAAACUUGAAACGCCAAAAUUAAAAGUGGACUAUUUGUCAUGUACUGUUCUUAAAAUUUUCCCUAUUGUUUUUGUUUUUUAGUCUUUUUAUGUGUGAUGAAAUUCCAUUGGGCUAAAAGCCUAUACAACCAAUGAGAUGACAGCUCUACCUUUUGUGGUGUUGUAAUGGACAAAUUCAGGGGUGCAAAACAGUGGGCUGUUGGAGGUUGAUGACCCUAGGACCGGGAGGAAGGUUGUAGAGCCUGGGAGGGACGAGACGGUGAAAAAUAGCAGAGGCAGCGACAAAAAUAACAGUCAAGAUAUGCCCAAAUUUUUCUGCAGAAAAUUAGGGUUGAUCGCUGAAAAUCGGUUUGGACCGGUGUUGACUAGGUCUGAGGAACAUGGGCUUGAGAUGAGAGGGUUGGAUCUCUUUUGCUAGCCACAAGCCUUCUUUAGCAGGUUAAAUGACUAGGGUUUUAAGGCCGAAAUAUGAGAAUUUUUCUCACUACCAGGACAAGCACUUUAGCCGACGAAAAAUUUUCGUCGGCCUGUUAGCUUAAUUCGUCGGCUAAGAUCUCGUCGACUAAGAUUUCGUCGGGAAAAGGUCGUCUGUGAUGACUUUAGCCGACGAAAAAAAAAUUUCGUCGGCUAUAGUCCCGCAAUUUAGCCGACGAAAAACAUGUCGUUCGUUUUUUUCCCAGAUUUUAGCCGACGAAACAAUUAAGAUAUUCGUCGGCUAAAGUCUGUAAUAAAAAAAAUUUUCCCAGACUAUAGCCGACGAAAUAUAGUAUGUUUCGUCGGCUAAACCUUAUAAAAAAAUUUUAAAAAUAACUAUAGCCGACGAAAUAUAGUCUGUUUCGUCGGCUAAACCUUAUAAAAAAUUUUAAAAAAUAACUAUAGCCGACGAAAUAUAGUCUGUUUCGUCGGCUAAGCCUUAAUAAAAAAAUUAAAAAUAACUAUAGCCGACGAAUUAUGGCAUAAUUCGUCGGCUAAACCUUAAUUAAAAAAAUUAAAAAAUACUAUAGCCGACGAAUAUAGUAUUUAAAUAUCGUCGGCUAAAGUUGCUGGGUUUGAAAAAAAACUGCAGAAACUUUCGACCACCUCCAAUCACGACCAAAAUUUGACAGAAUCUUCCUCUCAACAUUUCGAACAACUUUCUAGAAGAAGUCGAAGCUCAAUUCUAAGCCUAAACAGGUCAAUCGACUCUAAAUAUAAAAAUCCCCAAUUUUAAACCCUAAAAACUUCAAAUCUUCGAUUCUAUUCACACACACCGAAUCGAGCUACCAAAUUCUAGGGGAAUGUAGUACUAAUCAAACUCAACUUAUCCAUAUAUAGAACUCAUCAAAUGGUGUCCUGAGGAAGGAGAAAUUCGAUCGACACCGAAUCCGAACCGGCGGAGUUUUGGAGCUCGAUUUAUCUCUCACGGCGACGCCACUCGAUGCACCACCUAUCCAGCANNNN